AAGCUGUCGCGCGACUGGCGGAAGUGGAAUGAACCACAUGGAGCGCGACCAAAGAAAAGCCGACCGCCUGGGCAAACCGC
rnacentral:ncRNA from 2 species